CGAACGCUGGCGGCAGGCUUAACACAUGCAAGUCGAACGGUUGUAGCAAUACAGCAGUGGCAGACGGGUGAGUAACACGUGGGAACCUUCCUAGGGGUACGGAACAACUCAGGGAAACUUGAGCUAAUACCGUAUACGUCCGUGAGGAGAAAGAUUUAUCGCCCUUAGACGGGCCCGCGUCGGAUUAGCUAGUUGGUGGGGUAACGGCCUACCAAGGCGACGAUCCGUAGCUGAUCUUAGAGGAUGAUCAGCCACACUGGGACUGAGACACGGCCCAGACUCCUACGGGAGGCAGCAGUGGGGAAUCUUGGACAAUGGCGCAAGCCUGAUCCAGCCAUGCCGCGUGAGUGAAGAAGGUCUUCGGAUUGUAAAGCUCUUUUGCCAGGGACGAUAAUGACGGUACCUGGAGAAUAAGCCCCGGCAAACUUCGUG
rnacentral:rRNA from 1 species